rnacentral:piRNA from 1 species
GCUGAGGAAGAGUGGACGGACGGAUGGCA